rnacentral:rRNA from 1 species
CACCUGACAGCGCGACAGCGUUGACGAAGGUCCUUCCGAAGUUGGUUCCCGCUUGAAGGGAAUCUUCUUGUUGGCUCUAAAAUGGCCAGUGAAUAAGGGGAGGGCAAGUCUUGGUGUCAGCCGCCGCGGUAAUACCAGCUCCUCGAGUGGUCGGGGCGAUUAUUGGGCCUAAAGCAUCCGUAGCCUGUUCUGUAGGUCUUCUGUUAAAUCCAACGGCUUAACCGUUGGCCUGCAGAAGAUACCGCAGGACUAGGAGGCGGGAGAGGUGGACGGUACUCCACGUGUAGGGGUAAAAUCCUUUGAUCCGUGGAAGACCACCAGUGGCGAAGGCGGUCCACCAGAACGCGCUCGACGGUGAGGGAUGAAAGCUGGGGGAGCGAACCGGAUUAGAUACCCGGGUAGUCCCAGCCGUAAACGAUGCGAGCUAGAUGAUCCAAUCGCAAAUCGCGAUUGGAGUGUCGCAGGGAAGCCGUUAAGCUCGCCGCCUGGGGAGUACGGUCGCAAGACUGAAACUU